AUACUAAAAAUAACAAUAAUUACGAAAACUGCCACCGGCAUUUCUCUCUCUCUCCCCACCUUCCGUUACCCAAGCUCAUCUAACCCUUAUUCGAAUCCCUCGACCCUUACCAAAAUGUCUCUCUCUCUCUCUCUCUCAAAUUCUCUGCAUCUGGAUUAUCUAUCCGUUUGCGAAGCUCAUAAAUCGAUGGCUUCUUCGUCCUUGAGACUUUCGUCGACAACAACGGCAGCGACGACGGUGAACAAUGGCGAAGCUGGAAGUUCCAAGAGGCAACAACUCCAUCCCGCUCGGUAAACGAAGUCGUCUGUUCGAUCCAAGCCGGCGUCUUCCUCAACUUCAUGACUGAAAGAGGAGGAGGCGUUAUUGUUGAGCAUGGAGGCUUCUACAGCGGAUUCUGAGGUCGUUGACGUGGAGGGGACCAUGGUCACAGCGGUAGGCUUCGCUGCUGGGCCUGAGAGAAUCAUGAAGAUCAUGUCGGUUAGAGGACUCGCUUCUUCUGGUAAGUAACGAUCUCUCGCUCAUAUCGUGGUCAUAGAAAUCUUAGUUGUUGUUCGUAGUUGAACGAUUGCUAAUUCAAUUGAAUUUUGGUUGAAGAAACCCUAGAUUAUCAUGAUUGAUUGCUAGGCGUUUAGUUUUGUAUGGCUGAGAUGAAGCAAUUGGCAACAGUUUUGUGAAUUUGGAAUCUGAAUACUAUAGUGUUUGAUGUGAAUGUUAGACGUGGAACCUGCUUCGCAUUGCUAUAUUCAAUAUCACUGGGUAUGAUUAGAAUUUGCUAUCUUGUUGAUUUUUGCAUUGUACAUAGGUUUUACUGUUAGUGAGUAAUAUGUAUAAUGAUGAAGCUUUAGAUUUUUACUGUUAGUGAGUAAUAUGUAUAAUGAUGAAGCUUUAGAUUGUUAUUUAGUGUAGAGAAACCUUAGAUGCUAUUGAUUUGUUAAAAUUGAUUUUGAGGCCAAUGAUAAUGAUGCAAAACUUGAACAACAAAGAACAGAGAUUUGGGGAGUGGUCUUCCUGGCACCCAUUAUCUUGUUGGUGCUUGUUCAAUGGUUAUAGGAUUAAUGAAACAUUGGAUUUAGUGGCAGUUCCUUGCAUGCCCAAUUUCGUUGAAAUUAGAUUAUCAACAUAUAGGCUAUUCUUUAUUAGUUUUGUUUUUAUGUACCUUUUCUUUUCAAAAGAUUUUAUGCAUUCUCACUAAUCUCAUUCUGUCUUGAUUACCCAUCCAUAUGUGUACUUGUAAUUCUCCCUUACUGAUUCUGAGACCGAGAUUGAAGCCUCUCGAGCUUUACAGUUACCUCCAGACCAAAGGCAAAAGCCACCUGCCCUUCCAAUCUACCUGCCCCUAAUUUGCCCUUGAUCGAUUGAUUGGGAUUUCGAUAUAUUGAUUCUGUAAUAUUGUUUCAGUUUUGUUACUUUGUGAUAUGGUAUAUGUGCAAUGGAAAAUCAAGAUUAUACUAUUUCAUUUACAGUUUUAGAUAUGCUUUCCAUUACUGAAAUACCUCAAAUGUGACACUAUUUGACCAUUCAUAGAUCUUAAACGGGAUUAAAUGUAUUGACAAGUUACCCAGCCAAGUGGAAUUUUGAUAUUUUUUGACAAAAUUUUCUUGCAGAAGAAAAGCAA